GACGAACCGUGCGAACGUUAUUCGGAUUCACUGGGCUUAAAGGGCGCGUAGGCGGCGACUCAAGUCUGGGGUGAAAUCCUUCGGCUCAACCGGAGAAGUGCCUUGGAUACUGGGUCGCUCGAGGGGGAUAGGGGCAUGCGGGAACUUCCGGUGGAGCGGUAAAAUGCGUGAGAUAUCGGAAGGAACGCCGGUGGCGAAAGCGGCAUGCUGGGUCCCUUCUGACGCUGAGGCGCGAAAGCCAGGGGAGCAAACGGGG
rnacentral:rRNA from 1 species